AGGGAGGUACCUCAGUGGUAGAACAUCUGCUUUGCAUGCAGAAGGUCCCAGGUUCAAUCCCUGACAUUUUUG